ACACAAUGAAAAGGAGGCCAACCAGAAGAAGGGGGGAAAAACCAGAAAUUAAAAGGACCCGGGCUGAUUUUUAUGUGAAUGUUGACUAAGAAUGGUCUCCAUCUGUGUAAACCCACUCAAACAGUGACUUCCUGUGAGUAACAGUCUGGAGCCUGGAGCAAAUCACUGAUAUUUAUCAUGCAGGAUGGCACACGUUCCCAGGGUUACAGUCUGCCUGCUGCUGGUUCCUCAUUAUGGUUCAGGCCCACUACCACAGCUUGCCCUUCAAACGCUGGUUUCUUUUCCGCUCACCCCGGAAAUGCCAAGAUCGGAUUUUCAAAGUUGCAGAUGUCGCUGAGCCAGAACACAAUACAUCACCACCUCUCCGGAACAUGACUCAUUUUCGCAGGCUCCAGUUUUGGGCACAACCUUGACGCUGUGGUCCUGAAGCCACCCGCGUUUGUCCUCUUGGCAUCUGGCUGCGAGGUGGAGGGGACUCGCCGGGCCUCCCUGCAAGAGGCGAGGCUGCAGGAAGGCUUGGCAGCGGCCCAGAGAGGAGAGGUGGCUGGAGUAUUAACUCCCCCCACAUGGAAGGUUAAAACCCUCUCAAAGCUUCCUCCCUCCCUCGGCUGCAUUAGCACGGAACAUAUGCUCUUCAAAAACAUAUGCUCAGAAAGAGAAAUUCCCAUUUUGAAUGAAAAUAAAUUAAAAAGUAGCAAAUGUAAUGAUGCCUUUUCAAGCAACAUCAAAAACGAUUAGAGGAUGCGAUGGCAGGCUGGGUUGAUUUAUCACACACAUAUUGUCCCAAUUAGCAGGAUCAUGGCGAUGGCGGAGGCUGCUUGACCUUCUCGUACCGUCCUCAUUUGUAUCGUGUCAACUCAACAACAGCUCCUAAAUCACUGCUCCUCACUCCCUGGCUGAACUACCUAUUGCACUACUUCAAUCUGUGAUAGCAAAGACAGGAGGGAGGGACUUUCCAAAACUGUGCGCUUGUGCUCCUGCAGGACAAGUGUAAGUAAAAGGAGUAAUGAAUAGGAACAAUUGUAGGUAAACCCUCUGAAAGACAUCUUUCAAAAUGUUCACUGCAACUCUUAUGUGGGAGUUUAAAUGUUUCCUUAUAAAAAAUAUAGGAAAUAGUACUUAUACCUUAAAGGUGAUAUAAAAAUAUAAAGUAGUGAAAAGCAGACACUAAUUGAUUAAAUGUAGAUAGAAAACAGAAAGUUGAUACAGGAGGAAGUAGACAAAGGAGAUACAAACAGAAAGCCAAAGCAAAACGUAUCAAAUAAAUAAAGGUAAAGGGAAGUGAAAGUGUGUUGAAAUGAGUCUCUGGCUGUUUGGGGUAAUGGCUGACGUGUCAGCUCGUAUGUCUGUGUCACACCGCUGGCCAAGGCCGCCUCCCGACUGGCCUUUCUGGGUGUCAGUGUGUGUGUGUGUGUGUUACUCUCUUUUUGGGGGGCGGCUUCGAAGGGAGCGCAUGGAAAUGAGUCCCAUUCAUCCCUCUGCCCACGACCCCCCCGGCCCCCCCCGAUUGGCAUAUGGCAUGGCAUUGUCCUUGGCCGCUGAGCCAGAAGUGAUGCAAUUUGUUGGCAUGUCCUGUCAUCUCACAAACUACCCAUCCCAUUGAGGCCUCCAGAAAACAAGAGCAGAAGACAUGGAAGGGCGGCCAACAGCUCGGCUCCGGCGAGCGCCGAGCCAAAAUCCCUCCAGAGGAAAAAUAACUAGCUGCAUUCACCAACAUGUGCAUACGUUUUUACAAAAAACAACAGGGAAACAUGUGAAUGUUUUUGGAAAUGUGGAAAAAGUGUUCGCGUUGACUGAAC
ensembl:lncRNA